rnacentral:lncRNA from 1 species
CUUUGACUGUUAUGUGACUGCUGGAUCGAUCGUUUAGUCUGAUGUACACUGUCCUUGUGAUAGAACAACGAACAAUGGAGAAAAAUGAGUAUACAGAGAAUUGACGAUAUCCAAGUGGUGAAAAGACAGGGAUACUCAUCUUUCUCUGGGAGGAAAGAAAAGAGGACAUAUACAUGUCGGUUGCCAUAUGGUGGGUGCGGUAUCUUCAGUGGCAUCUGUAGCGCCAUCAGUAGUGAUAUCUUUAGUAAUAUUUGUAGCGAUAUCUAUGAUUGUGUUUUUAUUGUGGUUCUUCUAUAAUUUAUAUUUUGGUUGUUCAUCUGUG